GGGAGUCUCGGGAGGAACAGUCUAGAAGCUUCGUCGUCUCCUCAACUCUAUGCAGUGGUUCCAAGGUGUUGCUUUAUCUACCUGGGUUACAGAAUGAAGCUGAUACAGAGAAGAGCCACAGUUGGCUGUGAUGAUCAUGUUGCAAGAGUGAAGAACCAUCCUUUGUGCAGCUGAGUUGGAUGCUGGAGGAGGAAGAAGGGUGAGGACAGGCAGAAUCCUGGACAGUGCAGCAAGUUUUUCUUCCAGGACAGAUGUUCCCUCUGGUACCAGGACGGCCUUCUCUUUUCAGACUCACACAACCAUAUCAUGAAGCUCUAUCAAGUCCAAAUAAAUUAUUAUGUCUUUGAA